CAAUAGCGUAUAUUAAAGUUGUUGCGGUUAAAAAGCUCGUAGUUGGAGUUCUGCCAGGUGCCGCCUGUCCGCCCCAGUGGUGAGUACGUGGCGCGCAUUUGGCCCUUUCAAGGGGAGCGUAUCUGCACUUUAUUGUGUGGUGCGGGAUCCAUGACUUUUACUUUGAGGAAAUAGGAGUGUUCCAAGCAGGCUCUCGUCGUGCACAGCUCAGCAUGGAAUAAUAGCAUUGGACCUCGAUUCUAAGCUGUUGGUUGCCAGAAGCGAGGUAAUGAUGAAGAGGGAUAGUUGGGGGCAUUCGUAUUUCGGUGCUAGAGGUGAAAUUCUUAGAUUACCGAAAGACAAACUGCUGCGAAAGCGUCUGCCAAGGAUGUUUUCAUUGA
rnacentral:rRNA from 1 species